UGAUUAAUGGUGGAGCCCAGGCCAAAAGACAAGCAUCGGAAUGCAAAGGACCACCCACGAAGUGGCGUCUUUACUGCAUCCUGAACUGGAGACCUCUGGCUCACUACUGCUGCUGCAGUUCUGCUGAGACCAUAGAAGAAUCUCAGCACUGACCUGUCAGUGUUCCCUCUGGCCUCCAAAGUCCAGGAGAUCAGUCACACUGUCUUUGAGCUUGAGUUGAGGCCAAUGCUCAUUUUAUUCCUACUCCAUGGAGACUGUUGUCAGUGAAAGGCUAAUAGGGGACACACACAGUGCAGCUCUGGACCCUGGGACUUGGAAAGACUUCCUGAGCAAACUUGCUAUGUGAACCCACCUGACUCACUUCCUGCUCAGCUCCUCUAAGAAGGGCAAUCCAUCUGGUAGUCUGCUUGGCAGAGUUAUGGUGAUCUUCAUCUUUCAGAGUUCCUCUUUCUACAGCUCACCAGUGAGAGAAUGAUGGAGUGGAAGCCAUAGGAACUACAGGGAGAAAUGGAAGAGAAGCAGAAUGUGCCAGGAGCAGUCUGGUCUCUUUGGUGUUUUAGAAAGUUGACCACAGCGCAGAGUCAGGCAAGCAGCACCCUACUGGGGACCCACAAUGGAUCCUGGCCUAUGCCAUUUUAUGUACCCUACUGGGAAGAGGGAUGAGUUCUGCUGGGGAGCCUCCUCUUGCUACAGAUGGCCCUACUGUGAGACUAUUCUAGCACUGAGGCAAACUAAGCAGCCUACCUCUUCCUGUGAACUCGGAAGGAAAAUCAAUGAUAAGACCUCUGAGAUAUUGUAUUGGUUGGUACCAAGUACAUUUAAUUCUUCUAGCUGCUUUUCUAACACCAGUGUCUUAGAGGCAGGCCUACCCCAUCAUCCUGGCUUCCCCACUAGAAGUUCAAACGGCCCACUACUUGUGUCAGAGACUGAGAGGAGAGAGAGAGGCUGGGCUGCCCCAGGACCUGGAAGCAGCUCUCAUGGAGCCAGUCUGCAGCAGCCAACAAGCCAGCCAGAGGGCCAGUGAGCAGAGACUCAGCUCAAGAAGGAAACACCAUAUAAGAAGCCCUCAUUUUGUAUCUGACAAUCACCAAAGACUUUUCUAUUAGAUGGAGUGUGUGCUUAUGCCAUUUAUGUUUUGCUGCAUUAUUUUUCUGCUUGUAGAAGUUCUAGGACAGUCUCCUUAUCUGAAUUUAAAAUAAACCUUAUUUUGCCUUUCCUUGUCCAUUUCUGUUAUCUAUUUUUGGGCUGUUUUCUGAAAUGAGACUUACGGCAAAUAGGGAUGUCUUUAACCUUUUUAUAAUAUAGUUGUUUUUAAAUGCUAGGGCUUAUUUGAAAGAGGUGUUUACCAAACGGGCAAAGUUCAGCUUACUUGUCUGGCUGGCUUAGAAUGGUAAAUUAUGGGGAAAGGCACACAGUGUAGCUGAUGCCCGAAAAAAACUGCAUCUCCACAGAGUGCUUGGAAGAAAAGCACAAAAUGAAUGAGUGCCACAAAAUAAUUGCACAACAUCUCAGAAACCUUCAUCUCCACAGCUUGAUGAGCUAUUUGCAUCUCUUCAUUGAAUCUUUUUUUUUUUUCCCUUCCUUUGGAAUCUUAGAGGCUGUUUAAUCUCAAGUGAGCUCAAUUCACAUUUUCCUAGCAGUAUUAGCUAUCAGCACAAAGCACUUCACCCAUUGCAUCACACUGCCAGUCAGCAAGCAGGGACCUAAUUAGCUCUUUGCUUUAAUGGCAAUAGUUAAAUUUACAUUAUUAAUUUAAAUAUCACGGACUCUGUGGACUUGAGCACAUAGCUGACAUAAAGAUGUAAAAUGAAUAAUAAGAUACUGAAAAAUACGAGUCAUUAUUCCCAUCAUGUUCAAACUUUUAGCUAUAAUGAUAUCAAUUAAAAUUCUAAUCCUAGCAAAAAGCUUUGCUGGUUCUUUUGUUAUAAAAGCUAUAGUUGUACUUAAGUGGGGG
ensembl:lncRNA